AGCUCAACGAGUUCCAAGGAUAUCUAAAUCGUCCAAAAUCAUGACUAUGGGAAACAAAUUUUUUUCAACAUCCUGAAAGAUGGUACCUGUUGCGCGAUUGAAAAUGAUCGUUGUUGAAAAAGAACCAAGAACUGAAAAACCAAGUCAAAGCGGAGGCUUCGCUCUUUAAAACGGGAUCAAGUGGACUGUUACGCUUAUAUCUUUUUCCCCUUUUUUCACAAAGUUACGACGAUUUUUCGUCAUUACGAUCUUCACUGGAAAUUUUCUUCGAACUCGAAGUGAAAACGACGGAUCUAAUCGAUCGUCGAUAACCCAUUUGUUUUGAAAUUCUCGGCGGCGAGCCGACGGCAGCUCGAAGUAUCAGCGAGCCGUAGUCUUCAAGAACAAAGAGCAUCAAUCUUCCACUUCUGGAAAGACAUCUCGGGCGAUGAAACUCAUCGAUUCUCUCGCCGUUCAAUUGUCCCGUCGUCGAUCAAUCGUCGUCGACGAUUAAAUAUAACGCGCGCUCUUUUUAAAUUAGCGGCCCUCGGCCACUCGCCGGCGAUAAUUCUUUGUUCCAGCGCUUCGAAACGGACCGUGACUCGAUCGCUAAAUAUUGACCAUAGGUAUCCGGCGCGAGCGGCAAGCGUAAUCUUGUGACGUCAUACUUCUCGCAAUCGCAGACCUCGGGAUAUCUCAGACCUCGGGGUAUUAAUAUUUGUGAAGCACUCGCCCGCGGGAUUAAUUUCUCCGGAUUUUUCUCUUUCACUGCCAGCGAAACUUGCCGUUUCGAGAAUUUUUCACCAUACCUCGAUACCUCGGUGUUAUUAAAUUUUUUAAUAUCUUUGGAUCAAGUAGAAAGUUCGAGUAGACGACGCGAUUGGGUCUAAUAAACGGCGGAUUAUUGGAAU